AAAAAAAAAAAAAAAAGAGAAAAAGGUCUACAUUGUGUUAGAUACCUCCCUAUGCAGGCACUUUUGCAAAUUUUGGCUCCUUUGAGCUUCAGGACAAUGCUUCUUGGUAGAUAAUACCACGAAUUCCAUUUCACAGACAAACAAAAUGAAGAUCAGAGAGGGGGAAGCAGCUUGCUCAGAAAGUGGCAGAUUAUUCUGGUUUUAUGAAGCUGAGUUAGUGUUCCUUACUGUUCUUAUAACCACUUAUUCUUUUUUUUAUGACAACUUAAUGAGAGGAGUUAAUAAGUGAUCACACUGAAUCAUGGCCAUAUCCUACCACCUUAGAACUGUGCCUUGCAAACCUAACCUCUACCUGAAAUUAUGGACUAAUUUCCAACUGUCUACUCAACAUCUCCCUUGGAUAGCUAGUAUGCUUCUCCAAGUUGACAAAGACAAAACAAAUAUUUUGAGGUUUACCUCCAAGUCAGCGACUCCCAUAGUUUUCUCUAUUUCUGUAAAUCACCCUGUUAUCUACCCACUAGCCCAAGCCAAAGUCUCAUCCAUGAGAAAUCCUACUGAAAAAUACAACAAAAUCAGUGUACUUCUUUCUUCUCUACCACUCCUGCUCUGCUCUAACCCUUCUUCUGUCUCUUACCAAGAUCACUAUAGAAGAGCAGUAGUAGCCUGUUCUCUGAUUCUUCUAUUUUUACUCUUUCCUUCAAUCCCUUCUUCAUUUUCCAUACACAAAUCAAAUAACAAUGCAAAUUCUUACUUAAAGUUCUUCAGUGGCUUGACCCUUCAAUGGCUUUUAGGUUAAAAUCAUAACUCCUGCAUGACUUCCUUAUUCUAUCCCUCAUCUCACACCAAUCUCACAUUCCCCAACAUGCCAGCUUGCUGGCAUCCUCUCUGUUUCUUGAACAUGCCAAGCCAAUAUCAUUCCUGCUGCAAGACUGGUGUUACUCCCCUUGUCUCUGAUUGUUGUAUGCCUGGCUCCUGCUUGGCAUUAGAUCUUAAGUGUCACUUCCUCAGAGAAGGCUUUCCUGAUCACCCAACUUAAAGGAAAACUCAGUUAUUUUCUAUGACAUCAUCACCAUUUUCCUAAUUUUUCUUUAUGGUACAUACUGAUACCUGGUUGUAUUCAUACACUUAUAUAUUUACUUCCCCCUGUAGAAUGUAGAUUUGGACUGACUUUUCUUAUUUAUCUCCAACACCCAGAACAGUUUUCCCCAAUACCUAGAUCAAUGCAUGACACAUAAUAGGCAUAUCAUAUGAAAGCUUUUGUGGGUAGCUGCAAAGAAUGGUUUCUGGGAGAUUUUUCUAGGUGUUUUCUAUGACCCAGUCCUCAGGGGUAGAGAUGUACACUGUUCUAUGUUAUAUGUCCAGAAAAAAGGUGACAAUUUCAGAGAUUAAUAUUGUGUUCAAAGACACAAACCUAGUUCAUGAGAGAGUUACAGUUAGACCUCAGGUCUCUUUUCACGGGACCGCUAUCAUCUGUCUCUCACUCUGUCUCCAUGAUGUCAAGGGCUUGCUGUGUGACUAGUGAAGCCUUCUUCACCUCCCUUAAAUAAAAGUGUUUCUUUAAUUAAUUCAAAUAAUUUACUCAUUUCUUUAAUCUUCAUGCAUUUAUUCGACAUAUACUCAAUGUUCAGUGUUUCCAAACACUUUGAUAUGAUUGUAGAAGAGGUUCUGUAUUCGUGGUUUGAGCUUUCUGAAAAGGAAAAGGAACUGAUUGCAGCUGCUGGGGGAUUUCUGGCCAAUCAGAAGGAACAUUUGACUAAAGAGCUGAGUUUACUCCUAGGAGACUGAGAGUUGGCCUAUGGGAAAAAUUCUCAAAGACCCUACUGCCCCCACAACAUCUCCCUCACUGUGUUUGUCAUCCAGAGUUAUAUGGGUACCAUUGUGUGUGUACCUCUGGGGCUAGCAAUGUGGGAGCUCUCCCCCACGGACCCUCGGCUUGACAGCCUGAGGUCUGGCUAAAACUUUACAGGCAUGUACAGGUGAAGGCAAAUAGUAUGACUCAUGGAAGAACAAUGACAGAGAUGUGUUGGACUCUGGCCUUUCUGGUCACAUUUUGAGUGCUUUGCCCCACUGGUCCUGCCCUUCCCUAAUGUUACAUACCCUGAAGGAAGAGACUGAGCAUAUAUUUUAAGCAAAUGUCAUGUGAGUGAGCCUAUCCUGGCAACCUUAGUUACAUUUGUAGUUCUCCCCCUACUUGGUCCUCCCCAUCCGCAUUCCCUACCUGCUUUCCCCCAUAGCAUUUAUCAGUCUCAAACCCACUAGAUAAUAUACUACUUCUUUGCUUAUUGCAACCUCCCUUUACUGAAGGGAGCUGAAUGGAAGCUCCUCUGUGAGGGUGGGAUUUUGUCUGCUUUUUUCACUUCUGCAUCCCUAGCACCUUUAAGAGUGCCUGGACAUUAUAGAUGAUUAGUAACCACAGCCUCAGGGAGAUCCCUCUCACACAGAUGCCGGGGCUUGGUCAUGUGACUUGCUUUGGCCAAUGGAGCUUUAGCAAACAUGAAACAGAUUUAAAAAGCACUUUUGCAUUGGGACUAUCUUGCUGCUGGGAGUUCUUCUCCCACCAUGUGAACAAACCUGCACUGAUAAAAGCUUGAUGGGAGAACAAACCUACAGGAUAAGAGGCUGUAUGACAAGAGGCUUCAGCCAUCCCAGCCGUGCCAGUCAUCCCAACUGAGAGACCUCAGACAUCCUACCAACUUCACUUCUUGGCCAUAUAGGAAGGAGUCAGCGUCCCAAAGAAGUCUGGAGAGAGUAGGAUGUGGCAGAGAACAGUGAUCGGUGCCUUGGUGUGGAACGGGGAGCACUGGUGAAAGGGUGCAGAGUUUGGGGGAGGGGAAAGCUGAGGGUCCUUGGCCUUCUCGGAUUCCCAGUCUGGAAGGCACACUUGCUCAGCCUGUGGCCUGGAGAACAGGGGCUUGGGAAAUGCUGGAAAGGCCCUUUCUCCCCUUUCCCGCUCACACCCUCCUUUCCUAUCUGCCCUGUCUGUGCUCUGCUGUCCUAUCCCACAGAGUUCUGUGGGAAAAACACACUACAUCAACAACAACAAGAUAAUAAAGGGCAUGUCCAUGAGAGAGUAGGACAGGGGAGGGGGAAAGGGUGAUUUUGGCAGCAAUACCCCAUCAUCUAGUGCCUCUGCACUUCCCUCACCUCCCUCCUCCCUGAACCAGAUGGGAUUGGAAGUCAGAGCUGAAGAAAGCCAUAUAGAUUGCCCACCUAACCCCUUUCACUUACAGAUGAGGAAACUAAGCCCCAAAGACAUUAACUGAUUUGCCUAGGGUCACACAAGAAAUUUGUGAUGGUCAGAUCAAGAAUUCAGUUUUCAGACUCUCAGCCCAGUGCUCUUUCUGCCACUCCCCAUGAUACUGACUUGUCAGGUAUCAGUCAUGUUACACUCAGCCUUGACUUUUGGAGACCCACUUCCAAGAGUAGUGUGAAUCCAAGGGUUUCUUUUUGCCUGAGCACUGUUUCUCUCUCUGAGCUGAUUCCUCCACUGCUACUUGACUUUGGCUCCAAGAUGUCAGAGGUUCAGAGUCCAUUUCCAUGGGGGCCAAUCUCUCCUCCUGUGGUGCUCUCCUUGGGUGGACUCUCACUUCUGUCCCCUCUCACCUUCUGCUGUAUGCUGAUUAAACAGAGCUAUAGGCCCUGGAAUGUUUCUGCAGCCAGCACACAGAGACUGAUCCUGUAGCACAAGGACAAGGAUUGACAGCCUUGCCAGAACCUCUCAGGCAAUGGGAUGAGGGAGCAGGAUUGGCUGGGAGUAAUGUGGAGGAGGAUGAGGAAGUCCUGGGGGCACCACUUCUCUCCCUGUGCAUGCCCAAAUGAUGAGCUGGGCUGGGAUAAUCCUUGUAUCUACUCUGCUUCUGAGCACAGCCCACUUUGGAAGCCAACUCUUUCAUACUUGCACCAUUUAUUGCCUCACUGCAUUUAUAACGUGACUCCAGUGUGGACAAUCUGUGGCUGUUCUCCAUGAUUUGAGCACAUGCCGAGAUGCUGUGAUCAUCUCAGGGAUGUUGGCGUCCACUCGGACCCACUCCUGCACUCCCAGCUCAAUUUCUUGAGGGAGUCAGCUCCACUGACUUAUCUCUGUUUCUCUUUAGCUGUUGUUGUCAAAUCUUGGGUCUAAUUGCUAGGCCAUCGCCAAACACAGACUUGCUUAUCUUCAGGAUUCCACAAUCUCUGGCUCUACUCUCCUGUGCAUUCAGUCUUUUCACUCCUCUACGUCUGUGAAGUGUUCUUUUCCUCUUAGUUCUCCUUGCUGACUCAGUCCCCUAUCUGGGUGAAGGCACGCAGUGCUUCCCUUCUAGAAGCUUGCUUCCUUUCCUUGGGACAGAAGAAUUCAUGCCUGAAAGGCUGCUUGAUGUCAACAAAACAACAUGCAAAGAGGCAUUGAAACCAACAACCUAAAACGGAGCUGAUUUAAAAAAAUUCUGUCCAGUAUCUAGAACUUUGUCACCAUGAUGUUAAGCAUCUUAACUUUUUAAAAGCAUUUUCCACUUUUCAGCCAGAUGUUUGAAGUCAGGCAGAUGUGCCUAAUAUUGCAUAAUCACAAAGCUGCUCACUCUCAGUUUCAGGAGGCAAAUGCGGCCCAAUCCAGGGAAAUCAACUGACGGCAUGUCAUGGCCAUCACAGAUCUGAGGAGCUGGCCUUUGGGUGAUUUCUGGUUCACAUGACAAACAUUCAAGAUGAAUCAGAGGAGAAAAGCUACACGAAGUGAUGUGCAAGUUGAAAACAGAAAAGGCAACAUCCAGCAAAACAGAACAUGGAGACUGAGGACAUGAAACAGAAAGAAGCAUAGGACAAGACCCCUCCUCCAAAUUGCAGUCCUUUAGGAAUUUCUGGAGAGGUAACCUGGAGUCUCCCCAAGCUUCCUGCAGCCCAACCCACCAACCCACCAACCUGGCUGAUGCAUAUGUGGAAUAUCAGCUUCCUGUUCUUUGAAGGGCAAAAAGGACACCGAAGUAUAGCCUACGGGCUCUGCGGCCCAAAGCUCAUUAAGAAGAUAGUAGAUUUAGGCCAGGCGCAGUGGCUUACGCCUGUAAUCCUAGCAUUUUAGGAGGCCUAGGCGAGUAAAUUGCCUGAGCUCAGGAGUUCGAGACCAGCCUGGGCAACACAGUAAAACCUCGUC